CCUUGGAGUGGCGCACGGGUGCGUAACACGUAUGCAAUCUGCCCCUAACAGGGGAAUAGCCCGGCGAAAGUCGGAUUAAUACCCCAUAACAAUGUGAAUCGGCAUCGGUUUAUAUUUAAAGCUCCGGCGGUUAGGGAUGAGCAUGCGCGACAUUAGCUAGAUGGCGGGGUAACGGCCCACCAUGGCUACGAUGUCUAGGGGGUCUGAGAGGAUUUUCCCCCACACUGGUACUGAGACACGGACCAGACUCCUACGGGAGGCAGCAGUAGGGAAUAUUGGGCAAUGGACGCAAGUCUGACCCAGCCAUGCCGCGUGAAGGACGAAGGCCCUAUGGGUUGUAAACUUCUUUUGUACGGGACGAAACCCCUCUACGUGUAGGGGGCUGACGGUACCGUAAGAAUAAGGAUCGGCUAACUCCGUGCCAGCAGCCGCGGUAAUACGGAGGAUCCAAGCGUUGUCCGGAUUUAUUGGGUUUAAAGGGUGCGUAGGCGGAUUACUAAGUCAGAGGUGAAAGUUUGCAGCUUAACUGUAAAAUUGCCUUUGAAACUGGUAGUCUUGAGUAUAGUUGAGGUGGGCGGAAUGUGUCAUGUAGCGGUGAAAUGCUUAGAUAUGAUACAGAACACCGAUUGCGAAGGCAGCUCACUAAACUGUAACUGACGCUGAGGCACGAAAGCGUGGGGAGCAAACAGGAUUAGAUACCCUGGUAGUCCACGCCCUAAACGUUGAAUACUCGUUGUUGGCGAUAUACAGUCAGCGACUAAGCGAAAGCAUUAANNNUUC
rnacentral:rRNA from 1 species